UAUUUUACUUGACAUUAAACUAAAUAUUGCGGAACGAUGUUUACAAUUGACAUAAGCGUUCCAUUUGGCGGUAAACACAGUGUCUGACUGUUCUUAUAUAUAAGCGCGCUGAUUUCACUAUACAAGCGGCGCGCUCGUGAUAAUAUAGAGGUCGAGAUUUGCCUUCUGCUACCAUUACCUCUCACUGGCUUAGUCUGCAACUGAUUGGUUAAUCAGAUAUAUGAAACGCAUCUGAUUGGUUAAUACUAGCGGUAGUGGAAGUCAAAUUUGAACCUCUCUAAUAUGGUUAAUAAUGUACGUUUCCCUCGUAGUUUUUAUAAAGUUUUUACUAUUGAUCUAUUACUAUUACUAUUACUAUUUGAUGGGACAGACUGUCUCAUAUGAACAGUACUCGUACAGUACAUACAGAUGAAAUAUGCUGAAUUGCAAAUCCAGCCUCAGAGUUUUAACUCGUACAGUCUAUUUUGGUUGAAUCGGUCGGCAAUUUGGCAAAUUUCGCGCGCACUAGUGUUCUUCCGUGCACAAAGCUUCGGUAGCCUUACUCCACUCAAGCAUUUCCAUAGUGAUGAUCUUUUGCAAGACAUUCAGCUUUCUUGGCGUAUUUAAAGGCAUUGCGCAAAAAGCGAACUCUUUCGCCAGGACUGACUUGUGAAUGUCGAUAAUUAUAGAGGGACAGUACCAAAUUGAGCUGAACUUCACGAUACCAACUCAGUGGGUGUCCUUCGUAAGUGGAUUGAUGUACAGCUGAUAUGCUAAUCUUCGCUUUUUUAAACUUGAAAUGUCUACAUUACCCUUAAUAAGCUGUCCACUUAAAUUACAGCCAAGGUAAAAAGUGGCCAAAGUUACAUGUAUCUUCUGCUCCAUAUCUUCAAGGACUUUGGAUUGAUCUGGGACAUGCCGUAAAUGUUCCAGAGCUCUUAUUGAAUGAACAUCCGGUGAAAAUUUCUUUGUUGGGUCUCCUGAAUUUACCAGGUCACUUACAGUUCCAGCAAAAACGUAUAGUAUUGCUGUUACCAGGCCUGGUUCAAUCAGUUCUGCCUUGGACAAAGCUUCAGUCAAUAGUUCUCCGAGUGCUUUAAAAUCUCCACUUGCACGUUUUAAAGCUGCUUGUAAGUACAAUUCCAUCACCUCGAAAAUCAAACGAUCUUCUGCUUGCGGUAAAAUGGCGUUGUACUGUUCGAGAAAGGCACGUGCUUCAUUGAAACUACCUCUGCGGCAACACGCGAUGACUUGUUUGGACAAAA